UACGAAGGGAGCUAGCGUUGUUCGGAAUUACUGGGCGUAAAGGGCGCGUAGGCGGCCUUCUAAGUCGAACGUGAAAUCCCCGGGCUCAACCCGGGAACUGCGUCCGAUACUGGAAGGCUUGAAUCCGGGAGAGGGAUGCGGAAUUCCAGGUGUAGCGGUGAAAUGCGUAGAUAUCUGGAGGAACACCGGUGGCGAAGGCGGCAUCCUGGACCGGCAUUGACGCUGAGGCGCGAAAGCCAGGGGAGCAAACGGG
rnacentral:rRNA from 1 species